AACAAAUAAAAUUUUCAGUUUUUACAUAUAACGUUUGACUCUUCGUCUUAUUCAAAAAUUUUACGUUUAAUAUUUUUGUUUCUAUUAGAUGAUAAAAUAUGAAUAGUAUUUUAUGUGUGACUAAUUUUUUAAAAAUUUCUUAACAAAUUUUUAAAUAAGACGGAAGGUCAAACACUGGACACGAAAAUCAAAAGAU
rnacentral:pre_miRNA from 1 species